rnacentral:rRNA from 1 species
CAGCCGUAAACAAUGUGCGUUAGGUGUGUCGGUAACCACGUGUUACUGAUGCGCCGAAGAGAAAUCGUGAAACGCACCACCUGGGAAGUACGGUCGCAAGGCUGAAACUUAAAGGAAUUGGCGGGGGAGCACCACAACAGGUGGAGCCCGCGGUUUAAUUGGAUUCAACGCCGGACAUCUCACCGGAUAAGACAGCUGAAUGAUUGUCAAUCUGAAGGUUUUACAUGACUAGCUGAGAGGUGGUGCAUGGCGUCAGUGACU